rnacentral:rRNA from 1 species
AGAGUUUGAUCCUGGCUCAGAAUCAACGCUGGCGGCGUGCCUAACACAUGCAAGUCGAGCGAGAAAGGGUAGCAAUAUCCGAGUACAGCGGCGCACGGGUGAGUAACACGUGGGUAAUCUGCCUCGAAGUGGGGAAUAACACCGGGAAACCGGUGCUAAUACCGCAUAAUCUGAUGGAGUUUGCGGAUUUCAUCAGCAAAGGAGCAAUUCGCUUUGAGAGGAGCCCGCGGCUGAUUAGCUAGUUGGUGAGGUAAUGGCUCACCAAGGCGACGAUCAGUAGCCGGUCUGAGAGGACGGUCGGCCACACUGGAACUGAGACACGGUCCAGACUCCUACGGGAGGCAGCAGUGGGGAAUUUUUGGCAAUGGGGGCAACCCUGACCAAGCAACGCCGCGUGGGUGAUGAAGUCUCUUGGGACGUAAAACCCUUUCGACGGGGACGAAGCCGCAAGGUUGACGGUACCCGUAGAAGAAGCCCCGGCUAACUCCGUGCCAGCAGCCGCGGUAAUACGGGGGGGGCAAGCGUUGUUCGGAAUUACUGGGCGUAAAGGGCGCGUAGGCGGCUCACUAAGUCGGAUGUGAAAACUCUGGGCUCAACCCAGAGCCUGCAUCCGAAACUGGUGGGCUAGGGUGCUGGAGGGGAAAGCGGAAUUCCUGGUGUAGCGGUGAAAUGCGUAGAUAUCAGGAGGAACACCGGUGGCGAAGGCGGCUUUCUGGACAGUAACCGACGCUGAGGCGCGAAAGCUAGGGGAGCAAACAGGAUUAGAUACCCUAGUAGUCC